UACGAAGGGGGCUAGCGUUGCUCGGAAUGACUGGGCGUAAAGGGCGCGUAGGCGGUUCAUACAGUCAGAUGUGAAAUUCCUGGGCUCAACCUGGGGGCUGCAUUUGAUACGUGUGGACUAGAGUGGGGAAGAGGGUCGUGGAAUUCCCAGUGUAGAGGUGAAAUUCGUAGAUAUUGGGAAGAACACCGGUGGCGAAGGCGGCGACCUGGUCCUGUACUGACGCUGAGGAGCGAAAGCGUGGGGAGCAAACAGG
rnacentral:rRNA from 1 species